rnacentral:rRNA from 1 species
AGCGAACGCUGGCGGCAGGCCUAACACAUGCAAGUCGAACGAAGUCUUCGGACUUAGUGGCGGACGGGUGAGUAACACGUGGGAACGUGCCUUUAGGUUCGGAAUAACUCAGGGAAACUUGUGCUAAUACCGAAUGUGCCCUUCGGGGGAAAGAUUUAUCGCCUAUAGAGCGGCCCGCGUCUGAUUAGCUAGUUGGUGAGGUAAAGGCUCACCAAGGCUACGAUCAGUAGCUGGUCUGAGAGGAUGACCAGCCACAUUGGGACUGAGACACGGCCCAAACUCCUACGGGAGGCAGCAGUGGGGAAUCUUGCGCAAUGGGCGAAAGCCUGACGCAGCCAUGCCGCGUGGAUGAUGAAGGUCUUAGGAUUGUAAAAUCCUUUCACCGGUGAAGAUAAUGACUGUAGCCGGAGAAGAAGCCCCGGCUAACUUCGUGCCAGCCGCCGCGGUAA